rnacentral:rRNA from 1 species
AUGGAAGGCGAGAGCUUCUCGGGGAUGGGCAAUGGAGGCGGCGGCGGCGGAGGGGGGCACCACCAGAACCGGAUGCUCAUCUCCGAGAUCAACCAGAACCACGAGUCCCGGGCGCCGGACAGCCUCACCCGCAACGUCGGACUCAUUCGGGAGCUCAACAACAACAUCCGCCGCGUCGUCGGCCUCUACGCCGACCUCUCCGCCUCCUUCGCGCACCGUGGUGCCGCCAUGGACGGCGGCUCCUCGGAGGGCGACUCUUCGGGCACGCUGCGCUCCUCCGAUGCCGCCGGCCGCGCCGCCGCCGCCGCCGGACAGAAGCGCGUCCGACCCGGCUAG